UCGGGAGUAGCAGACGUCGAUACAAGACCAGCCUGUUUAGAUUUUGAUAUUCUUAUAUACAAACGUGUUUAACUUUACAAUUUAGUUUGAAACCUAUAAAAUUAAAUAUUUUAGUUACUCUCAGUUUCUAGAAUAGCAGUGCGAUUUAAAUAUUUUUGUUUCUGUCGUCUGUCUGUCUGUCUCUGCACAAAAUGGUACUGCAAGCAGUGAGACACGGAAAAUCCCCGCAGCACUGCAGCUUUAUUUUGAAUCUUGGUAGACCCAGUUUCUUUAGCGCCUUUGUUUUGAUCGCUUUGUCGUAAUAGACCAUCACGAGACUUUUCGUAAUGUUAGCUGCAUUAACUUCAAAUGAAAAAUAAUUCGUUUUAGAGAUUCUUUGAAUCCCAAAAAAGACAAAAAAGCUGUGAUAAUCAUUAGAAGGAUGACAAAUUUAAGAGAAUAAAUCGAAGAAUUGAUGACAUGGUCGCAAAAGUAGAAGAAAGGGGUACAAAGAUAGAGGAAUUGCAAGAAAAACUUGUUAAAGUUAGCAACAAACUUCAUUCUAAGGAUGCUAAAAAACAGAGAGAAGUGGAAGAAGUAAGAAAAUUAGAAACAAAAUGUGCUAACUGUGAUUUAAUUAUCAGGGAAGCGCAAGAGUUUUUUUUAUUUCUCUAACAUCUAGCAAUCUGGUAAAUGCUGUUUUAAAGAACGCUCUUCAAGAGAACGUUUGCCACUUAAACAAACAGCUCGCAGAUUCGCAAAAUGAAGGGGAAAAGGCCAUAGACGAAAUUGUAAUUCUCACUGCUUCCAAUUUUUCAGCACAAGCAUCAAAAGAAAUUUGGGAAGAAGAACUUGUUAAGCUUAAGGAUAUAUUUGCUGACUGAAAAUCAAGUUCGUCAAAUGUAACAUAACAGAGCUGCAGAAAGGUGUUCAGCAGAAGGUGUUCUAGAUGUCAGUUUGAAAUAGAUAAAUGGCGAAGUAACGCAAGGUAUAUCUAGUGCAGAUUUCCACGACAGAAUAUUCUAAGAAGAUGCUUUUGUAUUGAUGGAGUAACUGAUGUCAAUGGAAAAGAUUGGUAGUGGUGGAUUCUCUUGCAAACUAGAAUGCGCAAAUAUCAACAACGAGUUGAUAGUGAACUUUGAAACGUUCAAGAUCGCGUUUUUCAUGCUUGCUAAAGAAUGGCAGAGAAAGAUUAAACAUAAUCAAAGUCGACUCAAGAUGACGUGAUGUUUCAACGGCAGAGAUCUGACAUGGAUGUGUUUAUAUACAAUGGUUUGUGUGGACUGCAAGAUAAGUUUACGAAAAAGGAAAGUUGUUUCAGAAGAAGAUCUAAGAAAGCAAAUGUUGUAGAUAUGUUAAUAGAUGCAGUCUGUCGCAAAGCUGUUAUUUUUUUUUUUUUUUUGUUUGCUUUUGUCUCUUUGUUUGUUUGUUCAUUUGUUUGUUGUUUUUACCUAGGACUAUUUCCCGUGUUUUUGUUUAUUCUUUUAUUUUUUUCUCCUUUCAUUUUCCGUCCACAGCAGGAGAUUAGCAAAAGCAAAAAAAUGGACACCAAUGGACAUGUAAUAUCCUGCUCAUAGCCAAUGGACAUGUAUUUUCCUGCUCAUAACCAAUGGACAUGUAUUAUCCUGCUCAUAGCCAAUGGACAUGUAUUAAUCCUCUCAAAGCCAAUGGACAUGUAAUAUCCUACUUAUAGCAUAGUUUAAUGCUAGAUGCUGUAUGAGCUAAAUAAUGUUAUCAAAGGUUUUGCGUGAUAAAGUUCUUGAAUAAAGGCAGGAUUUCGCUUAAUUUGAUCGAUUCGACCAUUUUCGUUCUAGUGGAAACUAGCCUUAAGACACCAAGAUAGUAUGUGGGAGUUCUUCAAGUAUAUAUAGUAAAUAAAUAUUCGACCUCAUGUUUAGGCCAUUUUUCGUGUAACGCCAUUAAACUGGGUGGAAUGGAAAGCAGUAGUAUAUUUCUCCGUCCCAGUUAUAUUUUUGGACGAAAUUCUCAAGUUUGUCACGAGAAACUUCAUGGAACCACUCGGUCAACCAAGCAAGGAUAAAACUGAUUAAACCGGUCACGAUGUUGGUUGAAGUCGAGUUAUGUUUGUCACGUGUUCAAUGCAGUUGUUUGAUUGGCUAACGGGAUGAAAACGAGAAGUUUGUUCCGAUCGCUUGUUGUUAUUAUAUAUGUCACAUUUACAAAAAAAAGUGUUAUGAAAUAUAUAAAUUGUGAGUGUGCAAGCGACUGUCUGAUUAUACUAGCUACACAUCAACACCUCUCUUGUCAGUGUUAGCUUCGUGUCAUUUAUUGGUGUUGCUUUUUCACCGGCACACGAUCUUGUAUAAUCUGUAGUCACGUGCACAACAUUUAUCCAAUCCUACAGUUUAUUUUACUAAAUUUUAGUUAUUUUUCAAUUUUCUCUUCGUGUUUUUCUUCUUGAUGCACUACGACAACUAAAAUUAUUAUUUGUCUCUUUCAUUUCUAACGAGCGGUUUUCAUGAAAUAAUGCGUUUUAAAAUUAAACGGUAAACACGGUAAACGGUAAACAUAGCGGCAUAGCUUUCAUGUUUUAAAAGAUAUUAUUAGCACGUAUUUAUAUGAAACAAUUUUAAGAACAUCGUUUUACAAAGUUGAUUUAUUUUAACCUGAUUCCUAACGUAUACAUUUUUUUUUCGCUGAAACUGUACGAAUUAGGCCGAAAGGAAACUUUAAUAUUACCUCAAACAUGAAAAUCCA